rnacentral:rRNA from 1 species
AUUGAACGCUGGCGGCAGGCCUAACACAUGCAAGUCGAGCGGCAGCGGAAAGUAGCUUGCUACUUUGCCGGCGAGCGGCGGACGGGUGAGUAAUGUCUGGGAAACUGCCUGAUGGAGGGGGAUAACUACUGGAAACGGUAGCUAAUACCGCAUAACGUCGCAAGACCAAAGAGGGGGACCUUCGGGCCUCUUGCCAUCAGAUGUGCCCAGAUGGGAUUAGCUAGUAGGUGGGGUAACGGCUCACCUAGGCGACGAUCCCUAGCUGGUCUGAGAGGAUGACCAGCCAAACUGGAACUGAGACACGGUCCAGACUCCUACGGGAGGCAGCAGUGGGGAAUAUUGCACAAUGGGCGCAAGCCUGAUGCAGCCAUGCCGCGUGUAUGAAGAAGGCCUUCGGGUUGUAAAGUACUUUCAGCGGGGAGGAAGGCGUUGAGGUUAAUAACCUCAGCGAUUGACGUUACCCGCAGAAGAAGCACCGGCUAACUCCGUGCCUGCAGCAGCCGCGG